UCACCUAGCGCGAGUAAAACCUAGAGCCGCCGCCAGCAGAUCCGAUCGUGGUGCCCCUCUGGACCGAGCUCUCCCCUCGACGUUCUCACCUUCUCCGGAUCGCUAAUUCUUUGGCUCUCCCGACACCCAUGCGACGGCGUCCAUCUGGCUGCUGGGUCAAGGUUGAAUGUUGUAAGUUCCUUGCCGCUGUACUAGAUUAAAUAUUCAUUGCCGAUGUACUAGAUUAAAUAUUCAUUGCCGCUGAUCGAUCAAGUGUUCCUUGCCGCUGGACUCCUCAUUCCUCUCUGCAGUUAUGUUUCUCUUCCGCCUCUUCCCUCUAAGAUUUCAGAAUCCUUUCUUUGUAUACAACUGAUUAGUGAAUUAUGAUUUUGUUGUUUGUAUUUGCAUACAGGUAAUGGAUAUCAUUGUAGUUUUCACACUGAAGAAAUAAACAAUCUAACACAUGGAGGUGCUACAACAGCGGAGGGCAUCAAUCGCAUCCAGCAGAAGAAAGAUCUGAUUUGCUGAACUAAUCUACUACAUGUGUGUGUAUGUCUCCAAUCGGACUGUAACUCGAGGAUAAACUUUUCUAGCUUCGCAAGCUUUACUUUGCGACGGUUUUUCAAGCUGUGCGGCAUGGAGAUCAAACAAUGUCUACGGAGGAAGUGAACUGAAGAGCAGAUGAUUUCAAAUCUUAUAGAUAAAUUCACAAUAGUUAGGAAACUACAUACGGAAAUUUUAUGGACUUGUUCAGUCAUGCAUAUAUGCCAAUAUUUUGUAAGGAUGUACGUUUGACUUGUAAAGUAUUACAAU